GUUUUUGUAUUUUUAGUAGAGACGGGGGUUCACCGUGUUAGCCAGGAUGGUCUCGAUCUCCUGACCUUGUGAUCCGCCCACUUCGGCCUCCCAAAGUUCUGGGAUUAGAGGCGUGAGCCACCAUGCCUGGCCAAGAUAUGAGGGAAAUCAUCCAUUUUUAUGCUUAGGUUCCACAAGGUAUGGACAGCCAUGCAGAAAUAGAAUUGGGCAAAUAGGGUCGGAGCUAAUGAGAAGAGCCUAAGUGGGGACACCCAGCCAGGCCUGUCUGUCUAGAUUCUUAUGGCCUCUCUGAGCAGUCUUCCUUCCUUCCUUCCUUCCAUCCAGGACCCUCUCUGGAGUGAGGGUCUUAAGAUCUACAGUCUAACAAGGUAGGUCAGAUCAUUUCUUCAUGGCUGGGUUUUACACAGAAAGGCAGAAAGAAAAUUAGAGUCAUAUUUUUUAAGUGUUAUAGCUGGCUUUGGGUUCUAGUUUCUAUGACUCACCUUGAGGAAGAGGGAUUCUAGUUUCUAUGGCCAGACAGGGGAGAAUGAGGGGCUAGAGACAGAGGGCCAGAGAAGGUCAGAGAAAACUUUUUGCUUCUGAGGCUGCUUAGGAUGUCCUCAUUUUGGGUCUUGUUUUCUGAGCCUCCUGGCACUUCUCUGUCCAGCCUCCCUCCUCUCUACCCUCCAGAUUAGAGACUGAGCCUGAUGCCGUUUGAGCACUCAGUUGGGUGGGGAAAGAGUACUCCUCCUCCCUCAUGUGCCUCUUGAACUGUUUGGAAAAUUGAAGGCUUUCACUUUCUGAUCAGAGACAGGAUCAAAGUGGGCAGUGGGUUUUUUGUUUGUUUGUUUGUUUGUUUGUUUUUUCUCAGCAUGACAUCUCAUAGAUUCCACAAAGACAGAAGAACAUUGACGAGUCUUGGAUGUCUCUGGGCUCUUGAAUUCCCAUCGCAUUGGCAUCAAAGAACUGAAUAAGACACUGUUCCGCCACAAAACGGCGAAAUACAACUAAGAAACACAACUUCCUACGUGGUAUGAAGUCACUCUGCUCUUCUGCCUGAGAAAAUUGUCAGAAUAGAAAUGGAGUCACGAAUGUUCACAAAACCCUGACCAAUAGGAUUGGAGAAGUCCUGAAGAGAAGAUUUUUGGGCUUGCAUGCCUGAUUUAAAAAAAAAAAGAGACUACAAAAACCACAGCCUUGCUCAGAGGACAUCGCCAGGGUACACAAAAAAGACAUUUGCAAGGACAUCUCCCCAGUAACCUCCUGUUUAACUUCGGACUGGUGUCACCCUUGUUAUUGAUAUUUCUAACCACAGAUAAUUAUUUCAAAACAAUUAUGUAAUUCUUCUUAUUUUUUUCCUUUAAAAACCUUUGUCUUCCUUUACCUCUCUGAAUACGCACUUACUUUUUACUAUGGCACACGUAUUCCCAUUGCAAUGCUUUAUUCCCAAAUAAAUUUCUUUUAGAGAGCUUGUCUCGGUUUAUUUCAGUUGACACCAAAUUUUCUAUGUGUAAGUGAAAAAAAGGUAGGGGGGAAUCAUAAAGUGUCAAAAUGGAGAGAUGUCUUCCAGAUGGUUCAGUCCAGUCCCUGUGUCUUACUAAAGGAGACUAAGCAUGUUAACACACACACACAAACACACACACACACACACACUCCAACC
rnacentral:lncRNA from 10 species